UACAGAGGUGGCAAGCGUUGUUCGGAAUUACUGGGCGUAAAGGGCGCGUAGGCGCCUUGUAAGUCUCGUGUGAAAGCCCUCGGCUUAACUGAGGAUCUGCACGGGAUACUGUAAGGCUCGAGUUCGGGAGAGGAAAGCGGAAAUUCCGGGUGUAGCGGUGAAAUGCGUAGAUAUCCGGAGGAACACCAGUGGCGAAGGGCGGACUUUCUGGACCGACGACUGACGCUGAUGCGCGAAAGCUAGGGGAGCAAACAGGGG
rnacentral:rRNA from 1 species